UGGGCGUGCGCCUGCGCGGGCGACCCGGAGGCGUUGCCACGCUCUGCCGCUUUGGGGGUCCGUGCGGGCUCCUGUCCUCUCCUUUCCGCGGGGAGCCGGGCCGAGGGGAGGGCCAGAUAAUCAAGCAAAAGAAGGAUGAACUUCAUCUCUGGAUUGUCGUCUGCUACUAGAAACUGUAUUUUCUUCCGAUUUAAUUUACUGACCAGCUGGAGAAGAUGUAACACACUGGCUCUAGCCUCACCAGACUGUCAUCAAGUACAGAUUAACCGUAUGGUAAAUCAGUGUGAUAGGUUGACUUUUCUGCCUGGAAACUUUCAUUACUGUAGGACUUUUACUAAAAAAAGAACAGGAUGCCUCUCAACUACCAAAAGUAAGGAAAUUUGGAUGAUUACCCAAAAAUGUACCACACGGAAUGUCUCUUUUUCAAGACAGCAGCUAACAGAAGAAGUUGUACUAGUUCCUGCUCUUUCAGUCCUGCGCCCUCUAAACUGUUUUCCCAGGAGAGACAUCAGGUGUUUCCACACUUCUCCACGGCUGUGGGCUGCUCCCGUCCCUCUCUUGUUGGUCGUUCUUAAACCAGUCCAGAAACUACUCGCCAUCAUUGUCGGCAGGAGCAUAAGGAAAUGGUGGCAAGCACUUCCUCCUAACAAGAAGGAACUAUUUAAAGAAAGCGUAAAGAAGAACAAAUGGAAGUUCCUCCUUGGUUUGAGCAGUUUUGGAUUGCUCUUCACAGUGUUUUAUUUUACUCAUCUGGAAGUGAGUCCAGUCACAGGAAGGAGCAGGUUACUAUUAUUGGGGAAAGAACAUUUCAGACUUUUAUCAGAACUGGAAUAUGAAGCAUGGAUGGAAGAAUUUAAAAAUAAUAUGUUACCUGAGAAAGAUCCCCGAUACCUGACUGUUAAAGAAGUGCUUUAUCAUUUAAUUGAAUGCAAUAAAGAUAUUCCAGGGCUCUCUGAGAUCCAAUGGAUUAUUCAUGUGGUCGAUUCCCCAGAUGUAAAUGCCUUUGUGCUUCCAAAUGGGCAAGUGUUUAUCUUCACUGGGCUUCUAAAUAGUGUGACUGACAUGCAUCAACUCUCCUUCCUUCUGGGCCAUGAAAUAGCACAUGCGGUACUUGGGCAUGCUGCUGAAAAGGCUAGCUUGGUUCAUUUAUUGGAUUUCCUAGGUCUGAUUUUUCUCACAAUGAUUUGGGCCAUUUGUCCUCGAGAUAGUUUGGCACUUUUGAGCCAGUGGAUACAGUCUAAAUUGCAGGAGUAUAUGUUUGAUAGACCAUACAGCAGAACAUUGGAGGCUGAAGCUGACAAAAUUGGACUGCAGCUUGCUGCAAAGGCUUGUGUGGAUGUCAGAGCCAGUUCAGUGUUCUGGCAGCAAAUGGAAUUUGCAGAUCGGCUCCAUGGUCAACCCAGGUUACCACAGUGGUUGUCCACACACCCUUCUCAUGGUCAUCGAGCUGAGCGCUUGGAUAGACUCAUACCUCAGAGCCCGAGGCUUUUCUCCUGCUCCGUAAUCCCUGAAACUUUCCAUGAUCUCAUCUCUCAACACCAUCCCUCAACCCUCACCUCCUGCACUGAGCCAACCAGCUGACUGAGAAAUGUUCAUGACAAAGGCCCAGCAACCCUCAGGAGCACGAAUUGGCACAUCGUCAGCGCUCCAUGAAUUCAAGUCCGAAGACAGAAAGAAUGAGUGAUGUGUGAAUGAAGACAGAGAAGCAGCAGCAGGAGUUAUUGGAAUGCUUGAGAGAGUUUCCCAGUGAACUUUAUAAAAUAGUGAAGGGACUUACCUCCAUCUGAAAUCAGAGACUCCUUUGGUUCCACGGCUACUCAAAGUCAUUCGGGGCGGCUUUGAUGGGAGCUAAUCCCAGUAGCUAACUCGUCCUCCCGAGGGAAUGGAUCUAGUAAGCCACUGAGGAUUCGAGGUCUAAAGGUCCAGGUUCAACCCCUGCCUUCCUCCCCAGCCAUGUGAUGGAGCACGCCCCUCUCCUCUCAGAACCUCUGCGCAUCCUCACCAGCUGGUCGUGGAAAAGCAAAGCUCUACCACCACAGCUGCCAGGUGGUACUGCACGCCUGCCAUUGGCUUGGGAGGUCCUUGAGAGCAGGAGCUCUGUCGCAGUAGUGGUUUUUUAUCCUCGAUCCAAAGCACUGCUCAAUACAUGUUUCUUAAAGCAAUAAACAGAAUGGUCCUAGCAUUACCUUUCAACGUUGUCCAGGCAAGUGCUCAGUGUGCCCCGCCGGUCCUACUGGACAGGCUGGAUUUCUUCUCAGGUUUGCCCCAAGGAGCUCAGUCCCCACAGCCAGGCCGACCUGGAUUUGAAGCUGGCUCAUUCUGCGUAAGUGACCUUCCUCUGUGAGGCUCAAUUUUCUUUCUCUGGAAAAUGGAGAUAGUAGCAGUUGAUGUUUCGUGGGGUCGUGUGAGGACCACAUCUAUGCUCAGCCAUUUCUGUGUGUGUGGCAAGCACACAUCACGAGUGAGCGUCAGCAUCGCUGGGCAGCCCAUGCCUGGGCCCGCUACAGCAGCCAUGGAGUGGUCCAGAGCUCUUCUCGCCCUCUGCUUUCUUCUCUACUGAGGGGUUUCUCUGGCACCACAGGGUCUUGCUCAGCCACAGGCAGGGGUGCCCCAGAGGUGCAGAGGGGUCAGCUCCCCUGGGGUGUCCUACAACCAGUGGGGAUCAGAGUCAGUGGGUAAAUGCCUCACCCUCUGGGGUGAUUCUGGAGUGUGUUCCACAGUUUGUCAGAGGGCCCCUGUGGACUGAGCCCGCCGCCCACAGCUCUCACCCACUCAUUCACGCAUGCUCUAUUUGCAGACUGUAUUUCUCUCUUUGUCCACUUCCUCACGUUUGCUUCCUGAGAUCACCACCAAAUAAAUGGCCCAGUGCCCACCCAUCCUAUCCUAGUGCCUGUCUUAGGGCCUACUUUUAGGGGAACCCAAACUGUGAAGUUAGCUAUCAAACUUAUUAUUAUUAUUAUUGAUCCCCAUAGUAACACCACUUAAGAGAUGGAGAAACUGAAGUUAAGAGAGGUGAAGUAAUUGGCCCGUGGUUACACAGCACAGGGUUCUGAUAAUCCUUACCUCUCAGGGUUGUUUUGAGGAAGUAAUAAGUCACCUAUCAGAUAUAAAUGAGCUUUGCAAACUGCAGUAUUGGGCACGAGUUGCUUCUUGUCCCUUCCUAGUGCCACCUCUUCUAAUGACGGUGACAUAGAAAAUGACCCUCCGAUACCCAGAGCAGCCAUAAACAUUCCCAAGUGUGACAGCUCACUGUUCCUUUCUCAGGCCACAUAAUUGGUCACAGUGCAGCCGCACAGUCUGAGCCCGUUAUCCGUGAUUCAUAGGCUCUGGAGCCGGUGUGACCCUAGUGCAACCACGCAGUGGGAGUUUGGGCUCGGAAUUCACAGUCCAGGCAUAAAGUGGUGUUUACACACAUGUGACAGCUCGUCUGCGGGCAGGGGAAGUUUAUUUAACAGCUGGAACAGAUUGCAGAGUAACACUCAACAGCCUCGUCGGGAACAUAGAAACCUCAGGAGUCGAGACGUGGAGGCAGCGCGGGCUGGGAAGACACACAGUCUCGGGGAAGCCUGCUCCGCGUGCUCAGACUCUCUGCUGGGAUGUUCAGCUUGGAUUGUUCCGGAGAUGCAGUCCUGAGGGCUCAGCAAGACCAGUCACUGACAGUAAGAUCAGUAACCAGAGCAAUAAUAAGAGCUGCCGAUCAUCACUGAAUGAAUAAGGGAUCCCCUCGUACAGGCCACGCCCUGAAGCACCAGACAGGCAGGAGCUGGCUUGAUGCUUGCGAUGGUUCUUUGAGGCAGAUAUGGUUGUCCCACUUUAUACAUGAAUGAAGAAACUGGAGCCCAGGGAGCUUGAGUGACUUGAUCCAAACAGACCCCAUGGUUUGGACUACCUCGCCCUUCCAAGCUCCUGGGCCCCAGACUUAAUGCCAUCUGGAGGUGUGAGGUGUUGGUAGGUUGGCUGUUUCGCUGGUUGGUUGGUUUUAAUGUGUGAAAAUACAGUGUGAUGUGGAGAAAAGUCUUUUGAAUCAGGUAGACCUUAGACAAAUCACUUCAUUUUCCCAGGAUUAAUUUCAUUCCUACCCAACAUUCGGUAAUGUCUGCUUCGCAGAGCACCCAUGAGAAGGUAGUGGGUUUAGGCUUGUAGGUGUCUGCCACAUGGUAACUGAGCACUGCUUGGCGCUGCUCUUUCCCUUUCACCCUUGUCCACUUACUUCCAAAGAUGAUUUACAAAGGAAAGUUGGGAGCCACCAUCUGAGAGGAGAGUGACUCCUUGCCAGGCCUCAAAUUGUUUAAGAGAUUCUUUUGUAAGGCAGAGAAUGUCAAGAGACAAAUAUAAGAAGGGUUUUUCAUCAGUCUUUUGUCUUCUACUCAAGGAAACAUUAAGUAGUAUUCAGGCAUUCCCUUCCCUGCUGUCUGCCUUCUGCUGGGGUGGUCUCUCUCUCUGAACUAUUUCAAAUGUCCCAGCAGAGCUGGAGAGCUCUCCUCACCCCAUUGACAUGUGAAGGGCACAUAGAGCUUCCAUGGGCAAGUCCAAUGACCACAACUGGUCACGGACUCUCUCCCUUGAACCGGCUGCCUCUCUUUUUUCACCCAACACAGUGAUAAGAUGUCAUUCAGGCUAAGUUUCUAAGUGAGACUUAUGGAAAGUAAUAAUGAUAAAAAUAAAGCAAGACAUGGAAACUAAGACUAAAGUUAUGUCAGGGCGGAAUAUACCAAGGACAGGAGGGGACUGCUUCUGACAGAAGAUGGUAUGGUUAAGACAGAUGACACAGAAAGAACCAUUUUACUCCUAGUCAAGACUGAGGCUAAUGGUCACACAAGUCGCACAUUGCACCCCUCCGGAGGGCACCAUCCCCCCAGACGGGGAUGUGAAUAACAGCCGUGGAGACACGCAGCAAGGCGGCCCUGCCUGUGAUGCUGCUGUCCUGUUCCUCGGGAAGCAUGAUCUUCAAGGUACAACACAAUUAAGGGUGAACUGAAGUUCCAGGUGAGAGAAGAGAUGUCAGAGAGAACCUGAUUCUUUUGUUAAUGUCAUAAUAGUAGUAUGCAAUAGUGAUACUUAACACUUAUGGAGUAAAGUGUGUCAGGGACGCCCCCAAGCCCUGAGCAUAUAUUACCCCGUUUUACCCUCAACUGCAGUCCGUUGCUGCCCAGCCUCCAGCCAUUCUUCCACUUCCCUUUCAGCAAGCUUCAUUUUGUUUGAAUGGCAGCCCCUGCCUGAGGGGGUAAGUCAUGACUGUCUAAGUCAAUCAUGGCAAUGCUAUCCCCCUGAGCCAGUGAUUGGUCCUCGAGUAGGCAUGUGACCAGAUCUGGCCAAUGAGAAAUAGAGGAAACUCUAAUAUUUUCCAGGGAUUGCAAAUAUUUUAGAGAGAGGCCACAGAGAAGGCUGUUUGUUUGUUUGUUUUAAACCUGUGUUUUCUAUUCCUGCUUUGCAUACAUUAUGUUAAUAUAUGAUGCUUCUUGCUGCUGUGGUCUUCUAAUGAGCUUGAGGGAAGGCCAAGAGAAUUGUGGAGAUACCAACAUAGCACCCUAACGUCACCUUGUUGCUGAGCCAACACGGGCCCUGCCUCCCCUGAAACCUUUGGUGAAGUGAGAUAAUUAAAUGUCUUUACUGUUCAUGCCACUAUUAAUUGAAUAUUCUCUUACUUGCACCCAAAAGAAUUCCUAUUGAUAAAAUAUUAUUGCUUCCACUUUACCAAUGAGGUUAACUUUCCCCAUGUCACACAGUUAGUAAGUGGAAAGGCCAGGUUUCAAGCCAGGUCUGUCUGAGCCUAAGCUUUUCACCGCUCCUCCUCUGCCUGGGGCCGAGGCUCAGGUCGAGGGGAGCUACAGACCAGGGCAGGGUGCUGGCCCAAUCAGAGAAGAAGCGCUCUCGACAGUGGACGGCUCUCCCGGGUAGGGAGCUCUCAGCCACUGGAAAUGUCCACGCAAAGACAAGACUACCAUUCAUAAGCAUUGUUGCAGAGGCGAGUCAGGCUCUGAGCAGGCGGAAGUGAGGAAGAUGAAUUGUGAGUGAGAGGCAAGUGUUCCAUGAAUGUGUUCUGGAAUAGAACCAAAUGGACUCAGAGACUCGGUGAAAAAGAAGUUGCAGCCUUGGCUAACCGGGUUUUCACUCUGAGAUAGCGUCUCAGGCAUCUGCACUAAGGAGUGGGUGUGAUGACCGGCGGCCACCGAGGGCGAUGGCGUGGUGACGUGUAAAGGUCAGGUCUGUGUCUACGUCAGAGGCCCAGCUCUGCCAUUUCUGGCCUGUGACCCUCGGCUUCCCCUUCGUCAAAUGUGGAGAAUGGACUUGGUGUACUUCACAGGCCACUGUGAGAAUUAAAUGAGACGAUUAUACACUUCCACAAACAUCCACUGAUGCGCCUGGCCUUCUGCUGAAUCCUGAUGUCUGUGUAAGCUAUACAGAGUUUCCCAAAUUUAAAUAUUAAGCAUUUUUCUUUGUUUUUAAAAAUUUUACAACUCCUCUCUCCUUCCUACCCCACCGACAGAACCAAAAAAGGAUCCCAUUCAUCUAUUUUGAAAUAAGUCAAGCUCUGAUCCAGGCAAAUAGAAGAAAUGGCUCCAACGGACAGUUUCCAGCAAGACAAAUUCCCCAGUGGCUGCUCUCUGCCACCACUCAAUAAUGGCAUUUGCCGUAAAUUGGAGAGCCUCUUUAUCAAGUGCUUGGAAGCGCGUGGGACCGCUUUAGCCCUAGAGUGACAUUAAUCACAAACGCUGCUUUGGAAAGAGUGAUGGGCGUGAACAGGAAGGUUCAGUGGAGACCAUUUCCACUCCCCCCGAUGCCGUGGAGAGCCGGGGUUUGCAGAGCUGGGGCUCUAAGUGUUCAAACAUUUCUCAGUUUGAGAAAAAUUAUUGCAUCCAAGAAUUGGUUUCUAUUACCCUAAUAAUGGCCUAGAGGGGCAGGCGAAGGAACUAAUGUCUUUUAAAGAACCUACUAUGUGUGCCAGACACUAUGCUUACAUCAUCUCUUUUAAUCCCCAUAACAGCUCCACGAGAUAGGUCUGGUUAUCCUCAUUUGAUGGAUGAGGAAAGUGAGGCCUAAGGCAGCGGAAUGACUUGUACAAGUGACCAGGUGCAGAGAUGAGAGUGAAACGCAGGUCUGUGUGACUCUAAGACCUCACCACACAGCCUCUCGGAACCUGGACUGCAGAUCCCCGGCAGCAGAGUUCAGUGUAGACACAAGAAAUGAGUGGAGUUGGCUGGCUGAGACCACUGGCCCCAGCAAGGACGACUGCAAGAGCCCUGUAGGACCCAGCUUUAAUGACACUGUUCUGUGAUAACCUCCCCAAACAUGGCUUUUCCUUUUAUAAGAUAGAGAAUGAAUGAAUGAAUGAAUGAAUGAAUGAAUGAAAGUGCUCCAGGCAGAGUAAGAAUCUGCCUCCUCUUUGCUCGUGCACAGGGUGGCAGCCGUGGAGAGCCCCACUCAGAUUCCUAUUCGAGAGAACUCGCUGUGGGGAGAUGAGUGACUCCCUGGUGCUCCAGCUGCCACACCUUCAGCUCCUCUGUGAUCCUGUACCUGGACUGCUCCCAGCCAGCGACUGAGCGCAGCAGGGGCACCUUUGCUUGAGGUCUCCUUGUUGGCCUCGCUGAGACUUUCUUAGAACUGUGCUAGAGUCAGAAGCAAUUCCAACUCACUCUUCCUUCCUUCCCAACCUCCUCUCGUGUGUGUCAGACCCACAUCAUGGUCUGAAGACUCUCCCGGCCUCCUCUGCCCCACAUCAUUCACAGGUGUUUCUCCCAUAAAUCUCUUCACUUCUACUGCCGUCUUGGCGUCUGCUUCUGAAGACUCUAGCAGACUUAGUGAUUCUAUUUCCCCAACCCCAGUGUCUAUCACCAGGAAAACAGAUCAAUAUUGUGAUGUUGUCACGCAAUGGAAUACUACAGAGCAGUGAAAAUGAAUGAGUUAGUGACACAGGCAUCAACAUGGGCACAUCUCAAAAAUAUAAUGUUGAGCAAAAACAAAAAAAUUGCAGAGUGAUACAUAUGGGACGUAACAUUUACAUAAAGUUUUAUAACACAUAAAACAAAGCAAUACAUCAUUUGUAACAUGUACAAAUGUAAUAAAAGUAUAAAAACCCACUAGGGAGGGCUGAGUUCUGAAAUCAGGAGCGAGGUACCGCCGAGGAGAGGAAGAAGGGAGAAUGCAGUCUGCUGUCCUCCUUUAAGCUGGAUCGUUGGGACACAGUUGUUCUUUGUACCUAAGCUUUU